AUUGAACGCUGGCGGCAGGCCUAACACAUGCAAGUCGAGCGAGCGGCGGACGGGUGAGUAAUGUCUGGGAAACUGCCUGAUGGAGGGGGAGAACUACUGGAAACGGUAGCUAAUACCGCAUAACAUAAGAUGUGCCCAGAUGGGCUUAGCUAGUCGGUGGGGUAACGGCUCACCUAGGCGACGCUCCCGAGCUGGUCUGAGAGGAUGACCAGCCACACUGGAACGGAGACACGGUCCAGACUCCUACGGGAGGCAGCAGUGGGGAAUAUUGCACAAUGGGCGCAAGCCUGAUGCAGCCAUGCCGCGUGGGUGAAGAAGGCCUUCGGGUUGUAAAGCACUUUCAGCGUGGAGGCGUUACCCGCAGAAGAAGCAACGGCUAACUCCGUGCCAGCCGCCGCGGUAAUUC
rnacentral:rRNA from 1 species